rnacentral:rRNA from 1 species
AACGUAGGUUCCGAGCGUUAUCCGGAUUUACUGGGCGUAAAGCGUGCGCAGGCGGUUAUGUAAGACAGAUGUGAAAUGCCCGGGCUUAACCUGGGAACUGCAUUUGUGACUGCAUGGCUAGAGUGUGUCAGAGGGGGGUAGAAUUCCACGUGUAGCAGUGAAAUGCGUAGAUAUGUGGAGGAAUACCGAUGGCGAAGGCAGCCCCCUGGGAUAACACUGACGCUCAUGCACGAAAGCGUGGGGAGCAAACAGG